rnacentral:rRNA from 1 species
GAUGAACGCUGGCGGCGUGCCUAAUACAUGCAAGUCGAGCGAACGGACGAGAAGCUUGCUUCUCUGAUGUUAGCGGCGGACGGGUGAGUAACACGUGGAUAACCUACCUAUAAGACUGGGAUAACUUCGGGAAACCGGAGCUAAUACCGGAUAAUAUUUUGAACCGCAUGGUUCAAAAGUGAAAGACGGUUUUGCUGUCACUUAUAGAUGGAUCCGCGCUGCAUUAGCUAGUUGGUAAGGUAACGGCUUACCAAGGCAACGAUGCGUAGCCGACCUGAGAGGGUGAUCGGCCACACUGGAACUGAGACACGGUCCAGACUCCUACGGGAGGCAGCAGUAGGGAAUCUUCCGCAAUGGGCGAAAGCCUGACGGAGCAACGCCGCGUGAGUGAUGAAGGUCUUCGGAUCGUAAAACUCUGUUAUUAGGGAAGAACAUAUGUGUAAGUAACUAUGCACAUCUUGACGGUACCUAAUCAGAAAGCCACGGCUAACUACGUG